rnacentral:rRNA from 1 species
GAUCAUGGCUCAGGAUGAACGCUAGCUACAGGCUUAACACAUGCAAGUCGAGGGGAAACGACAUCGAAAGCUUGCUUUUGAUGGGCGUCGACCGGCGCACGGGUGAGUAACGCGUAUCCAACCUGCCGUCUACUCUUGGACAGCCUUCUGAAAGGAAGAUUAAUACAAGAUGGUAUGAUGGGAUUGCAUGAUAGCAUCAUUAAAGAUUUAUCGGUGUACGAUGGGGA